ensembl:lncRNA novel transcript
AGACCCACACUGGGGGACCUGCGACUUCCACCAGCAGCUGACCGGUGGGCCCUUGGGACCUGGGCACUCUUGCCUCUGUCUCUGCACAGCUGGCGCGGCAGCAACUGUUCCCGUCCUGCUUCAUAGAUGACAAACAGGCUCAGAGAGGAGAGGUGACUUGCUGAGGCCACACCUCAGUGGACGGUGGUGCUGGCUGGCGUUCAGACUCAGGUCCCUCCGAUUCCAGAAGCUUCCACCCCCCACCCGCCCGGCCCGCCGCUGAUGCUGGCUGCCUUCCUCUACUUCAAGCUCCUCCUGGUGGGACGGCCCACAGAAGAACACCUGGAUAAAGGUACAGGGCUUGGAUUCCAAUCGUGCCUUCUCUAAUGAGUGGGGCGACACUAAUUCCAUACUGCCUCCAUGCUGGGAGGGGUAUGCCCAAUAAGAUAAACAGAUGUGGGCAUGACUGGGUCAGCAAAGAUUCUUUGGCAGCAAGUGACAAAAACCCAAGGCAGACUUCUUCAGCUAAAAAAGGGGAUUUACUAGCUCAGGACACCAGGAAGAAUGGGGUGGAGGUCAGGCAUGGCUAC